rnacentral:rRNA from 1 species
UGCAGUCGAACGAACCCAUCCGCUUCGGCGGGGACGGAGAGUGGCAAACGGCUGAGUAACACGUAAGUGACCUACCCUGGAGCGGGGGACAAGCCGGAGAAAUCCGGUCUAAUACCCCGUACGCUCCCUUGGCCACGGCCAUUGGAGGAAAGGCUUCGGCCGCUCCUGGAGGGGCUUGCGGCCUAUCAGAUAGUUGGUGGGGUAGUGGCCUACCAAGUCGAAGACGGGUAUCCGGUGUGAGAGCACGAACGGGCAGAGGGGGACUGAGACACGGCCCCCACUCCUACGGGAGGCAGCAGCAGGGAAUCUUGCGCAAUGGGCGGAAGCCUGACGCAGCGACACCGCGUGAGGGAAGAAUGCUUUCGGGUUGUAAACCUCUUUUGUUAGGGAAGAGAAGAGACUGUACCUGACGAAUAAGCCCCGGCUAACUACGUGCCAGCAGCCGCGGUAAUACGUAGGGGGCGAGCGUUGUCCGGAUUUAUUGGGCGUAAAGGGCGAGUAGGCGGCACGUCAAGUCCCAUGUGAAAUCUCCCGGCUUAACCGGGAGGGGUCAUGGGAAACUGGCGGGCUUGAGGACAGCAGAGGAGAGCGGAAUUCCCGGAGUAGUGGUGAAAUGCGUAGAUACCGGGAGGAACACCAGUGGCGAAAGCGGCUCUCUGGGCUGCCCCUGACGCUGAGGCGCGAAAGCAUGGGGAGCAAACCGGAUUAGAUACCCGGGUAGUCCAUGCCCUAAACGAUGAAUACUAGGCCUGGGGGGUAUCGACCCCCUCUGGGUCGUAGCUAACGCGAUAAGUAUUCCGCCUGGGGAGUACGGCCGCAAGGCUAAAACUCAAAGGAA